CGCACAUUGCGCCCAUUAGUAUUCUAUUGGGCAUGCCUGUUCGAGCGUCAUUUCAACCCUUAAGCCUAGCUUAGUGUUGGGAAUCCGCAGUUUCUGGGUGGACCUACCCUGUAGCGUCCUACCCUGUAGCGGUUCCUGAAAAUCAACGGCGGAACAGUGGUAUCCUCUGAGCGUAGUAAUAUUUUUCUCGCUUUGGUCAGGUGCCGCUGCUCUUGCCGCUAAACCCCCAAUUUUUCAAUGGUUGACCUCGGAUCAGGUAGGAAUACCCGCUGAACUUAA
rnacentral:misc_RNA from 1 species